rnacentral:rRNA from 1 species
GACGAACGCUGGCGGCGUGCUUAACACAUGCAAGUCGAACGGAAAGGCCCUGCUUUUGUGGGGUGCUCGAGUGGCGAACGGGUGAGUAACACGUGAGUAACCUGCCCUUGACUUUGGGAUAACUUCAGGAAACUGGGGCUAAUACCGGAUAGGAGCUCCUGCUGCAUGGGGGGGGUUGGAAAGUUUCGGCGGUUGGGGAUGGACUCGCGGCUUAUCAGCUUGUUGGUGGGGUAGUGGCUUACCAAGGCUUUGACGGGUAGCCGGCCUGGGAGGGUGACCGGCCACAUUGGGACUGAGAUACGGCCCAGACUCCUACGGGAGGCAGCAGUGGGGAAUAUUGCACAAUGGGCGGAAGCCUGAUGCAGCAACGCCGCGUGCGGGAUGACGGCCUUCGGGUUGUAAACCGCUUUCGCCUGUGACGAAGCGUGAGUGACGGUAAUGGGUAAAGAAGCACCGGCUAACUUCGUG